rnacentral:tRNA from 2 species
GCCGAGGUGGCGAAAUUGGCAGACGCACUCGCUUCAGGGGCGAGCGCCUCACGGCAUGAGGGUUCGAAUCCCUCCCUCGGCA